GAUGAACGCUGGCGGCGUGCCUAAUACAUGCAAGUCGAGCGAAUGGAUUAAGAGCUUGCUCUUAUGAAGUUAGCGGCGGACGGGUGAGUAACACGUGGGUAACCUGCCCAUAAGACUGGGAUAACUCCGGGAAACCGGGGCUAAUACCGGAUAACAUUUUGAACCGCAUGGUUCGAAACUGAAAGGCGGCUUCGGCUGUCACUUAUGGAUGGACCCGCGUCGCAUUAGCUAGUUGGUGAGGUAACGGCUCACCAAGGCAACGAUGCGUAGCCGACCUGAGAGGGUGAUCGGCCACACUGGAACUGAGACACGGCCCAGACUCCUACGGGAGGCAGCAGUAGGGAAUCUUCCGCAAUGGACGAAAGUCUGACGGAGCAACGCCGCGUGAGUGAUGAAGGCUUUCGGGUCGUAAAACUCUGUUGUUAGGGAAGAACAAGUGCUAGUUGAAUAAGCUGGCACCUUGACGGUACCUAACCAGAAAGCCUCGGCUAACUACGUGCCAGCCGCCGCGGUAA
rnacentral:rRNA from 1 species